rnacentral:rRNA from 1 species
UACGGAAGGCAGCAGUGGGGAAUAUUGCACAAUGGGCGAAAGCCUGAUGCAGCUAUGCCGCGUGUAUGAAGAAGGCCUUAGGGUUGUAAAGUACUUUCAUCGGGGAGGAAAAACAAAACUAAUAAUUUUAUUUCUUGACGUUACCCGAAAAAGAAGCACCGGCUAACUCCGUGCCAGCAGCCGCGGUAAUACGGAGGGUGCUAGCGUUAAUCAGAAUUACUGGGCGUAAAGAGCACGUAGGUGGUUUUUUUAAGUUCAGAUGUGAAAUCCCUGGGCUUAACCUAGGAACUGCAUUUUGAAACUGAAAUACUAGAGUAUCGUAGAGGGAGGUAGAAUUCUAGGUGUAGCGGUGAAAUGCGUAGAUAUCUGGAGGAAUACCUGUGGCGAAAGCGGCCUCCUAAACGAAUACUGACACUGAGGGUGCGAAAAGCGUGGGGGAGCAAAACAGGGAUUAGAUACC